GCGACUUGCUCUCACUGUGAAAAAAAACAUUCAAAUAUAUAUUUUUUGAGUACCAAGAAAUCAAGGCAGAAGGCACCUAAAAGGUAAUAAUUGACAUGCAACAAUUGUAAGAAGAUAGUUGUCUUGGCUUGGCUGAAACAUAUGAAGGGAAGAAUCUGGACAAACAGUGGAAGGAUCUGAGAUCCAACCACCACAGUUGGAUGGAGGCGGUUGGGUAAAGGAGCAGGGGAGGCCGGAUUUGCUCAUCAUCUCCCUCGUCAUCCGCAUCGGCUGCUGCAUUGCCGUCCUCGCCGGCUGCUGCGCCAAGAAGUUAAGGAAGGAGGUUGACUGCUCUCGCCAACGCUCUUCCCAACCAGACUCAUCCUCCUCAUGGCAUAUGACAUGUUUGGGCAUAAUCAGUUUUCAGUCUAACCUGCAUGUCUAACUGUAUUAUUUUUCUAAUUUCGUCUAUUGACUACUUUUGAUGCUUCCGAGUUUAUCACAUGAGUGCAUCUGCAGUAUUUUGGUAUUUGGUUUUCUUUCAUUUCAUUAUAAUUAUUUCAAAAAUAAAGCGAGAAAAUUGACCCAAGGGAGUAUCGAGACGUAAGAUUAUAUUCAGACUACAUUGGCUCUAUACGAUUAAUGUAUGAAGGUGUGAAGCCAUGUUCAGACGUUUUUCUAACAUGUGUCCAUGUCAUCCUCCUCCUGACAUUGGAAGGCUCUUAGUAAAGGUAGUGUUUGUAUUUGUAUUUCCUUUUACCAGAGGGCAUUAGAAAGUGAAUAGUUAAGUUAAAGUGUUUGCAGCAAAUGAUACAAAUUUUAAAAGCAGAUAUUCAGAAUCUUGUAAAGAUAGAUAGAAAGACGCAUGAGAUCUCCGAAAACUACAUGAGACAUUUCAGGGUUAUUUAGUUCCAAUGGUUGAACAUGCUUGUAACUUUGAUUCAAAACUUCAAAGCUCUUUGAAGCAACAUAGAUUGGGUUUAGAAGCUAGAAUCAUACAAACUAACAGUAUAGGAACAUAUAUUAUCUUACUAUAAUAAAAAUAUUGAUGCUUGUCAACUUAGUUCCUGAUCAGCAGUACCAAAAACCAAAAUAGUCAAGGAUAAACAAUUAAACCCAUGAAAAUUCAAAUAUCAAACUAAAACAAGAUUGAUUGCUUGCGCCUACACUAAAGUAGAAGAAAAAGAUCAACAUGCGACACUAAAGAAUGAGUAACAACUGCAGAAAAAAAUGCCUGCUAGAUGCUAAUUCUCGACUAUUGCAUGCAGAAUUAAAUUAGAAAGGUGCAGUCAUGAAGACCAAACAAGUGUACAUAUGGCAUCCCCAUUCUCUAAUAGCGAAAAUAGAACAGACAUCCAAAGUAAAAAAUCAAUUCAUAUGUGUUAAGGCUGGAAGAAAUAUUCUAAUAUAAGCGAUAAUUCAGCGAUGCAAACCCAAUUUAAAAUUUCCAUUCCUACCAAUGUAGAUGAAAUAAUAAAUCUAUACAUUCAGUGUGCUAUUUUAUUUGGAUAUACUAAUGAGAAAAUUAGGGAAGUGGGAAACCACUUCAGACCACAUUUGCUUACAGGUGAGCUUAUCGAAAAAACACCUAUGCACUUUACCUUUUCAAAAGAAGGAAGCAUUUAUGCAACUCUUCGAUAACUGAAUCAACUUUCAGGUGUAUAUACGCUAUAAGAAGAACAAAGUCAGUUGUUCCAUUCUUCGCUACAUGAGGGAGGAUGAAGAUGGAGGAUUGAAGCAACAAGCUCUAAAUUGGAAGAUAAAGGUUGACUGGAGAUAUAAUCUGUGUGUUGCUCACCUUGGCAUCUUGGUAUCAGGUGCGCCCGCUGUCACUUGAUGUCUUGACCACCGCUGCUACCAUCUAUCCCAGCUACUGCAGCAUGCACUGCCAUUUAAAAGAAAAGACUAUUCAUGCAUAGAAAAAUCAUAGCUGCAACUUGGAACGGCAUGUUCUAGUAGCAAUCCUAGAUAUACAAAGAGAGGCUUAGUCAGAAAUUAGUUGGGUGUCACACUACUAUCGGGUGUUGCAAACAGAUGUCAAUGAUAUGCAAGUUUCUUUUCGUUAAGAGCGGUAUCCAUUUAGGUGUCCCCUUUGCAUCAUAAUAUGGAAAUUCAGUUCUGAUACACCAUUUUAUUCAGCCACAGACACCCAGGGUCAAAAUCCACUAUUGUUUUCACCACAAAAUCAGAUCAGACAAGAGGGAAAGACCACUUCGAAUUAUAAUUAGCAAAGCACCAUCCACUCUAAAAUGAGGCAAACAAGGCGCACAUUGCUGCGCCCGUCCAUUGUAGAGAAGGAAUAACGGUUCAAAUUGCAGCGCUUCAAGUAUACAACCAUAGAGAAAGGUCGAUUGAUUUAUUGAGAGGCCAUAUGUCCACUUCAAAACUCGUCGCCGGUUUCUAACUUCCUAUUCUGACACAUAUUUAUUACCAAUAAAAAGUUAGCAUUCAAUUUUGAAGUAGAAAAGCAAAAACGCCCUUGUUUGUAAUGGCACUUGAACACCAAAGCGAGGAAUCCUUCACAUUGAUAGGACAUGAUGUAAAAACAAUUCCACACUACCACCAUCUCAUACGUGUAAUGGAAAAGAAGAUGAGCUUCAAAGUGACGGAAGAUUGAUCUGCUAUAACAAUAUUAUCAUCAGUUUUAAUAGGCAAAAGUUUAAAGCAGACUCACCGUGCUUCCCCACUGGUCCUCGACGACGGCCUCCGGAUCGCGGUCGAGCAGCAGAUCAACGACCUUGGCGUG
rnacentral:lncRNA from 1 species